AGAGUUUGAUCCUGGCUCAGGAUGAACGCUAGCGGCAGGCUUAACACAUGCAAGUCGAGGGGCAGCAUAAUGGAUAGCAAUAUCUAUGGUGGCGACCGGCGCACGGGUGCGUAACGCGUAUGCAACCUACCUUUAACAGGGGGAUAACACUGAGAAAUUGGUACUAAUACCCCAUAAUAUCGUAGAAGGCAUCUUUUAUGGUUGAAAAUUCCGAUGGUUAGAGAUGGGCAUGCGUUGUAUUAGCUAGUUGGUGGGGUAACGGCUCACCAAGGCGACGAUACAUAGGGGGACUGAGAGGUUAACCCCCCANACUGGUACUGAGACACGGACCAGACUCCUACGAGAGGCA
rnacentral:rRNA from 1 species